UUCUGCUGUGUGAGGCUAUGUACAA
rnacentral:piRNA from 1 species